UCCAGACUCCUACGGGAGGCAGCAGUGAGGAAUAUUGGUCAAUGGACGAGAGUCUGAACCAGCCAAGUAGCGUGAAGGAUGACUGCCCUAUGGGUUGUAAACUUCUUUUAUAUGGGAAUAAAAUGUUCCACGUGUGGGAUUUUGUAUGUACCAUAUGAAUAAGGAUCGGCUAACUCCGUGCCAGCAGCCGCGGUAAUACGGAGGAUCCGAGCGUUAUCCGGAUUUAUUGGGUUUAAAGGGAGCGUAGGUGGAUUGUUAAGUCAGUUGUGAAAGUUUGCGGCUCAACCGUAAAAUUGCAGUUGAAACUGGCAGUCUUGAGUACAGUAGAGGUGGGCGGAAUUCCGAGUGUAGCGGUGAAAUGCGUAGAUAUUCGGAGGAACACCGGUGGCGAAGGCGGCCAACUGGGCUUUAACUGACGCUGAGGCUCGAAAGUGUGGGGAGCAAACAGGAUUAGAUACCCGUGUACAG
rnacentral:rRNA from 1 species